AGCAAUUUUCCAGUGUAAGGAUGGCCUUAACCUAAGAAUGACUUUAGCCUAAGUAACUCCAUUUUAAAAUAAACCUGGAGUUCCACCAGGCACAGCCUACAGAGCCCUCCAAUAUUGUCAUCAGGCAUAGCCUGAUAAAAUAAGUCACUUACCACAACCCUGAUAAAACUCAGAGUUAAGUCAUUGUCAUUUGCCUUUGCCCUGAUAAGAGUCAGAGGUGAGAGGUCAGGGUAGAAACCAGCAGACCAGAUGUCCUGACCCUAGAAUGCAAGAUGUCACUAAGAAACCUGAUAGGGACUGAAAGGGCGAGCAGAAGCCUCAAAAUUUAGUAUAAAUGAUGGAGCAAAUGAACAGACAUUCAGCCAGCUGACCCUGAUGCCCACAUGCCAGAGAGCCUGAGGAGGACCUGGACUGACAUCCCAACUCUUCUCAUCAUCUGCCUGAUCCUCUGCAUCUUCCUC
rnacentral:lncRNA from 1 species